GCCGCUGUAGCUCAGCGGAGAGAGCGAGGCAUUGACUACGCCAAGGUGGCAGGUUCGACUCCUGCCAGCGGCA
rnacentral:tRNA from 1 species